UUGCUUUGGCAGAAGGCAGCACAUAUACUAAAAUUGGAACCACACGGAGAAGAUUAGCAUGGACCCUGCACAAGGAUGACACCCAAAUUCAUGAAGUGUCUGUAUUUUAU